rnacentral:rRNA from 1 species
UGGGGAAUAUGGGACAAUGGGCGAAAGCCUGAUCCAGCCAUGCCGCGUGUGUGAAGAAGGUCUUCGGAUUGUAAAGCACUUUAAGUUGGGAGGAAGGGCAGUAAGCGAAUACCUUGCUGUUUUGACGUUACCGACAGAAUAAGCACCGGCUAACUCUGUGCCAGCAGCCGCGGUAAUACAGAGGGUGCAAGCGUUAAUCGGAAUUACUGGGCGUAAAGCGCGCGUAGAUGGUUCGUUAAGUUGAAUGUGAAAGCCCCGGGCUCAACCUGGGAACUGCAUCCAAAACUGGCGAGCUAGAGUAGGGCAGAGGGUGGUGGAAUUUCCUGUGUAGCGGUGAAAUGCGUAGAUAUAGGAAGGAACACCAGUGGCGAAGGCGACCACCUGGGCUCAUACUGACACUGAGGUGCGAAAGCGUGGGGAGCAAACAGG